ACUGGUGUGUUGGUUCCCGUCUAGUAUUUUCUGUGUUCUCAUUUGCUGCCUCUAUCUUGAGGAGGGAUUGUGUAAACAGUUUAGCAGACCCAUCCACCAGGACAGUUGUAACAGUCUUGGGGCCUCUAGAAGUGAGUACCUGUUAGGAAGUUUUACCUAUUACGUCCCAAUUAUGAAGUAGGGGCAUUUGUUUCCCCAAAGGCCCCUUCCUCACCAUGGGCCAGUACUGUGUGUGUUUCCUUCCACCAUGUGGGUCCUAGGGAUCAAACUCUGGCUGUCAAGCUUGGUGACAAGUACCUUAACACUCUGGGUCUUCUUAGCAUUCACAAGUCUGUAUCUUUUAUAAGACACCACAUAGCAUUGUAUUACAGCAGCUCAAGUAGACUGAGACAUCAUGCCUAGGCUCUCCCAAUCAUGACAAGGAUCUCCCAUCAUGACAAGGCUCUCCCAAUCAUGACAAGGCUCUCCCAAUCAUGACAAGGCUCUCCCAAUCAUGACAAGGCUCUCCCAGUCAUGACAAGGAUCUCCCAUCAUGACAAGGCUCUCCCAAUCAUGCCUAGGCUCUCCCAAUCAUGACAAGGCUCUCCCACCUUCCCUUUGUAUUUGCCUCUACCAUGUGCAUACAUUCCAGCCGUUAGCUCUCAGGAUUCUACCCUUUCCGUGUGCCAGAAGGUCUCUUAACCAGGAAUGCUUAGCCUCCCCCACCUAGGAGUCAAGGUCUUGUCCUUGAAAGGUACCAAGCAUCUCCGAGUAGCUACCUGGGUGAGGUGAAUGAGUACAGGACCUCCUUUUUUAAAUACAAGGCUGUAACUACGUUUAACCCUGAACAUGUAGCAAAGACUGUUGAGAGGCAACCCCAGGCAUCCCACCGAGAUCCCAGAGAGUCUGAGCAACUGCCAGUGCACUUGACCCUGGACACAGUCAAAGGCAUUUGUCUUUGGGAAACCAGUCUGUGUCUGCCAACAUCCCUACAAAUUAAACGCAGAACAAGAAACCAGGACUAAUUUGACAAGUCUGGAGCUGUAGCUCACUUCAUUCCACCAAGGGAAGUAGAAAGACAAGAGAACAGACGACCGAGGCGGCCAUGCCUAGAAGGGAUUUUGCCUGUGUUGCAGCUAACCACCUCCUUCACCAUAUAGCUUUGCUUUAGCCAGCCUUUCACUUAGCUCUCGCCUCUCAUAUUGCUAUUAGCAGUCUCAGCAUAGUGAAUGCCACUUCAUCUGCUGCCUCUCAGAAUUCAUUUCUCAAAAAGCAACAAACAAACAAGCCAAGUUGUGCUAUGCUGGGCCCAGUCAGCACCUCUGAGUUAGAAAGAGGCAGGCGGCCAGGCUUAAUUGACUUGUUUCCACAUUCUACCUGAAAGCUCUAUCAAUUAUUGCUUUAAUUUUUCUUCUUUUACAUUUCUUUCGUGUGUGUGUGUGUGUGUAUGUAUGUGUGUGUGUAUGUGUGUUUAUGUGUAUGUGUGUGUAUGUAUGUGUAUUUGUGUGUGUAUGUGUGUAUAUGUGUGUGUAUGUGUGUUUAUGUGUAUGUGUGUAUGUAUGUAUGUAUAUUUGUGUGUAUGUGUGUGUAUGUAUGUGUGUGUAUGUGUGUGUAUGUGUAUGUAUAUGUGUGUGUGUGUGUGUGUGUGUGUGUGUGUGUGUUCAUGUGAGUGUAUCGUUUUUACUUGGUGCUUCACCCUGACCUGCUGAGUUGCUGAGUCAUGUAACUGGCCCCAUUGUAAUUUCUGCCCCAGGUUAUAAUUGUUCUUACACUUCUUUCCAACUGAGAGUCAAUAAAAAUAUGUAUAUUCUGAUAUUUAAAAAUAUCUUGAGACAUUUGGAAGUUCAAAUAUAUAUAUUUUAAUAUUUUGAAAUGAAGUAUUUGGGGUAAAGGAACUGACUGUCCUUCACAAGUUUGGCCUUCUUUAGGCUCGCCAUUCCCACAAAGACAGAUACCUACGAGGAAGCGAUUGUGAAGUUGCAAUGAGGUAUACCCAGGGUGGAAACUGUCAUUUAUUCUUAUAAACACAUCAAGACCGCAGGAGUUCUGAGAGAUUUAUGGAUUAGAUUUUAAAUCAAUAUUUAAGUUUCUAGUGCCUUCUGACUCAUUCUAUUAAGAGCAUAGACAUUGUUUUCAAAGCCCUGGACGGAGCCAGCUAGAAGCACUCCAGAUGUCCAGAGCUCAUAUGACCAUAAACUGAUUUGGGGGGGAAACAACGACCUGAGCAGUUGUCCUUGGCUUCUCUUAGGCAAUCACAUGAUUACAGAAUAGAUGGCUAGCAAUAAUUCUGUUAUUGCUCGGCCACCCAGAGGAGUAGAGAGAGGAAGAAGACGGAAGAAAACUCCUUUCUCAGAGCCCUCCGCAA
rnacentral:lncRNA from 1 species